AAAGAAAGGGGUGUAGGGUGGGUUAGUCUGCGUCAAGUGGAACCAGUGUCUGCUGUCGCUCCAUUAGUGGGUUCAGGAGCGUCUGCUCUUUGUCUGUAUUGGGUAAUGAAUAGGAACCAAGGGAGCCACAUCUCCGUAUGUUUCGUUUUACGGUCGGUCAGGGUGGCGUGAAUGUCUUCCGCCCCAUAUAUGUCUUCCACCCUGCGGAUCCAUUCUGUCUUCGACGGUAUAUUGCGUUGUUUCCAGAGUGCCGGUAUG